UACGUAGGGGGCAAGCGUUGUCCGGAAUCAUUGGGCGUAAAGAGCGUGUAGGCGGUUCGGUAAGUCGGCUGUGAAAGUCCAGGGCUCAACCCUGGGAUGCCGGUCGAUACUGCCGGACUAGAGUUCGGAAGAGGCGAGUGGAAUUCCCGGUGUAGCGGUGAAAUGCGCAGAUAUCGGGAGGAACACCUAUGGCGAAGGCAGCUCGCUGGGACGUUACUGACGCUGAGACGCGAAAGCGUGGGGGAGCAAACGGG
rnacentral:rRNA from 1 species